rnacentral:rRNA from 1 species
GAUGAACGCUGGCGGCGUGCCUAAUACAUGCAAGUCGAGCGAACGGACGAGAAGCUUGCUUCUCUGCUGUUAGCGGCGGACGGGUGAGUAACACGUGGAUAACCUACCUCUAAGUCUGGGAUAACUUCGGGAAACCGGAGCUAAUACCAGAUCAUAUUUUGAACCGCAUGGUUCAAAAGUUAAGGACGGUCUUGCUGUCACUUAUAGAUGGAUCCGCGCUGGAUUAGCUAGUUGGUAAAGUAGCGGCGCACCAAGGCAACGAUGCAUAGCCGACCUGAGAGGGUGAUCAGCCACACUGGAACUGAGACACGGUACAGAGUCCUACGGGAGGCCGCAGUGGGGAAGGGUGGACAAGGGGCGGAAGCCUGAACAAUGCAUACAGCGUGGGUGAAGAAGGCCUUCGGGUGGUAAGACCCUUUUGUGGGGAAAGAAAAGCAGCAGGUUAAUAACCCGCUGUUGUGACGGUACCCAAAGAAUAAGCACCGGCUAACUUCGUG